GCUGGAAUAGGCUAAUUGGUUAAACCACCCUACUCAUAAUUGGAUAUUGAGGGUUCAAGUCCCUCUUCCGGCU
rnacentral:tRNA from 1 species